rnacentral:rRNA from 1 species
GAUGAACGCUAGCUACAGGCUUAACACAUGCAAGUCGAGGGGAAACGACAUUGGAAGCUUGCUUCCGAUGGGCGUCGACCGGCGCACGGGUGAGUAACGCGUAUCCAACCUGCCCACCACUUGGAGAUAACCUUGCGAAAGUAAGACUAAUACCCAAUGAUAUCCCACGAAGGCAUCGGAAUGGGAUUAAAGAUUUAUCGGUGAUGGAUGGGGAUGCGUCUGAUUAGCUUGUUGGCGGGGUAACGGCCCACCAAGGCAACGAUCAGUAGGGGUUCUGAGAGGAAGGUCCCCCACAUUGGAACUGAGACACGGUCCAAACUCCUACGGGAGGCAGCAGUGAGGAAUAUUGGUCAAUGGUCGCGAGACUGAACCAGCCAAGUAGCGUGCAGGACGACGGCCCUCUGGGGUUGUAAACUGCUUUUAGUGGAAUAAAAGGCGGUACGUGUACCGCGUAUUGUAUGUACCAUCAGAAAAAGGACCGGCUAAAUUCCGUG